GUGAACGCUGGCGGUAGGCCUAACACAUGCAAGUCGAACGGCAGCACAGUAAGAGCUUGCUCUUACGGGUGGCGAGUGGCGGACGGGUGAGGAAUACAUCGGAAUCUACUUUUUCGUGGGGGAUAACGUAGGGAAACUUACGCUAAUACCGCAUACGACCUACGGGUGAAAGCAGGGGAUCUUCGGACCUUGCGCGAUUGAAUGAGCCGAUGUCGGAUUAGCUAGUUGGCGGGGUAAAGGCCCACCAAGGCGACGAUCCGUAGCUGGUCUGAGAGGAUGAUCAGCCACACUGGAACUGAGACACGGUCCAGACUCCUACGGGAGGCAGCAGUGGGGAAUAUUGGACAAUGGGCGCAAGCCUGAUCCAGCCAUACCGCGUGGGUGAAGAAGGCCUUCGGGUUGUAAAGCCCUUUUGUUGGGAAAGAAAAGCAGCAGGUUAAUACCCCGCUGUUCUGACGGUGCCCAAAGAAUAAGCACCGGCUAACUUCGUG
rnacentral:rRNA from 1 species